rnacentral:rRNA from 1 species
GACGAACGCUGGCGGCGUGCUUAACACAUGCAAGUCGAACGCUGAAGCUCAGCUUGCUGGGUGGAUGAGUGGCGAACGGGUGAGUAACACGUGAGUAACCUGCCCCCUUCUUUGGGAUAACGCCCGGAAACGGGUGCUAAUACUGGAUAUUCACUGAUCUUCGCAUGGGGGUUGGUGGAAAGGUUUUUUCUGGUGGGGGAUGGGCUCGCGGCCUAUCAGCUUGUUGGUGGGGUGAUGGCCUACCAAGGCUUUGACGGGUAGCCGGCCUGAGAGGGUGACCGGUCACAUUGGGACUGAGAUACGGCCCAGACUCCUACGGGAGGCAGCAGUGGGGAAUAUUGCACAAUGGGCGAAAGCCUGACGCAGCGACGCCGCGUGAGGGAUGGAGGCCUUCGGGUUGUAAACCUCUUUCGCUCAUGGUCAAGCCGCAACAUUGGUUGUGGUGAGGGUAGUGGGUAAAGAAGCGCCGGCUAACUACGUG